rnacentral:rRNA from 1 species
CCUACGGGUGGCAGCAGUGAGGAAUAUUGGUCAAUGGGCGCGAGCCUGAACCAGCCAAGUAGCGUGAAGGAUGACUGCCCUACGGGUUGUAAACUUCUUUUAUAAAGGAAUAAAGUGACUCUCGUAUUCCUUUUUGUAUUUACUUUAUGAAUAAAGAUCGGCUAACUCCGUUCCAGCCGCCGCGGUACUACGGAGGGUCCGAGCGUUGUCCGGAUUUAUUUGGUUUAAAGUGAGCGUAGAGGGGUUGUUAAGUCAAUUGUGAAAGUUUGCGGCUCAAAGGUAAAAUUGCAAUUGAUACUGGCAGCCUGGAGUACAGUUGAGGUAGGCGGAAUUCGUGGUGUAGGGGUGAAAUGCGUAGAUAUCACGAAGAACUCCGAUUGCGAAGGCAGCCUACUAAAAUGCCACUGACAUUGAUGCGCGAAAGUGUGGGUAUCAAACAGGAUUAGAUACCCGGGUAGUC